rnacentral:SRP_RNA from 1 species
UACCUGUAAUGGGUCUUCAUCAGAAGGUUUUCCGUCAUCCCCAUACACCUCCCUGUCGCCACCUCAGCAGGAGCCCAGUUCGAGUCUCGUGGUGUCCACUUUUCACUCACUCGGGUAACCAGUGAUGCUGGAUGGACCUAAGCAAUGAAUGCAAUCUUGACGAGGGAAGAAAUUCUGCAGUCGGGCAUUCACCACGGGACGGCGGCGCUGGAUUACUCCCGUUGCGGUUGGGGGGCGUGUGGCGGGCUGGGAUAUCAACUGGUAUU